UAUUUCAGAUUCCACCAGUGAUAUAUAGCUUUAUUGUAAUGUAGUGAACAAAAAAAAAGCUUUAUUGUAAUGUAAAAUAUAGAUAGGAGCCCAUGAUUCGUAAUUUUAACUGCAACUAAUUUUGUUUUUUAACUCAUCAACAACUUUUUAUUAACCAAUCGAAGAGGAACAUGAUUUACACCACAAAAGUUUUAACUACAUUUACAAACUGAGACCUCUUGUAUUACCUAAAGCCACCAAUUAGAGCUUAAGCUACCUGAAUUUGGACUCAGACGUAAUUCAACUAAAAUUUUAAUUCAUAGUGUCUAUAGCUGCCAUAUAUAUUAAUUAAUUAUAUUGGAAUGCCCAUAAUCUUGAUACUUAAACCAAUCUUUUUCAACUAAUUAGCCACAAUGUAGCACCCUCUCUCUCUCUAUAUAUAUAUAUAUAUAUUGCACUUUUGCAUACACAUGCAGUCGAUCAAUGUGUAAUGAGUAUAUGAUAAAAAGAGUAUGAUAAUAAAACGGUUGUAUUGAACACUGAUGAGAAGCAAAAAUAAAAUAAAAUAAAAUAAAAAGAAAUAUGAGGGAAAGAAGUAUGGGCGAAAAUAAUAAUAGUUGGGAGUUACGUGAAUUUAUUAUGGUAGUGCGGAGCUUAGAGCACCAUUAUCGCAGUCUCCUAAGCAUGUCUCUUAGGUUAUUGUGAUUAAAAAAAAAUGAAAAAUACAAAACACGGAGAAGACGUCUCUUAAUUUGGCUCCGCAAGGGACGUCUCUUAUGAGACAGCUGUCGCAUUCUUCUUCGUCCUUACCUCUGAGCCGCGGUUAUCUCUGCAACAACAACAAAGCUGAGUCUUCUUCUUCCACCAUUCUCCUCCUCUUCAACCAAUCUCGCUUCUGCAGCAACCCUCCUACGGCUUCGUCUCAAAGGGACACAGUCUGUUGCUUCAUGUUGAAUGAAAUCCUAAUUUCGAGGGCACUGGUUUCAUCACUGUUGCUUUGGAUGUGGAGAUUGUUCCUCCAGAGAACUCAGUGCUCAAUACCGCAGCGGAAAGGUUCUUUAAGAGCGAGAUAAGGAGGAGGUUGUUUGUGAUGUCUGUGUUGCUUGUACUUAGCCGUGUUGGAUAUUUUAUCCCUUUGCCUGGGUUUGACAGAAGAUUACCUUAGCUUUGUCUCAGGUUCCGUUGGUGAGUUACUACUGGUUCUAUUAGAACGGUUCAUAUGUUUCCCUUAACAGCUUGCGUUGUUUUAGUUGAGUAUUGCUCUGUUUAUAUAUGUGUGUGUGUGUUAGCUUCACGAAUCUAAUGAUGGCUUGCUCUCUGUUAGGAAGAUCGUUGUUUCAAUUGAUAGAUUUUUUUCACAGCACCUGGAUGUUUGUUUACUACUGUUAGAACGGUUUAAUAAAUAACUUUUACUACUGAUUCCGUGAAGAAUUACAAUGCUGCACAAGACGUACGGGGAACUACACGUUGUUUUGCUUAUUCUGUCUCUGUUUCAUGUUAAUGUUCUUGUUCUGUUUGAGUAAUGAGAAUGAUAUGCUUUGUUGUUUUGUUUCAUGUUUCAAGGUUCUGGUUAUUGAUUCA